CCACGCAUUAUCUUUUAUAUGAGUCCAGCUAAAGUAAGCUGGAUCUUCACUGCACACCACUUUAUACACCAACACCUUGAAUUGGUGCAGUUUUAUUUAUUCUUUGUUCAAACAUAGUGUGUAAGAAAGCUGCUUAUGUGACAUACCCGGGGACGUUUAAGUGUUAGUUAGCUGAUUGAACUCCAAAUUUCGGUUCCAAAAACGGAGAUAACUUCCAGGGUAUGUAAGUAACCAUAGCAACUUACUCUAUGAAGAUAACCUGCUCCGGAGCUGGUUAUGUUCCAGGGUUUUUUCAUUUUAAGGUAAUGUUACUAAGCAUUAGGGGUUGUCUGUGCAUUUGUGCGAUUUCGAUGAGCGUCAAGUGGGCUUGAAAGCACAGAUUACGUAUGAUAUAUUAUAAUUUUACAGCAAUAUUACAAUUACAUUUCCAAUCUCACCCAUCGCAGAUCAGCAUUCGCAAUUCAUUUUAUUAUUAACUUUAUUAUUUAACUUUUUAAAACCAAAUAAUCUUUAAAUAAAAUAAUGCAGGCUGUUAUUGUUAAACUUGAUGUAUUUAUAUUAAAUAAUGUAUAUACUUUGAAUUAGGUUUAUUAAAAAAAUCUCCAAAUAUCACUGGAUAAAUAUACACAUCUUAUAAUUUACAACAGUUAAAGGAUGUUAAUAGUGAAGAAUUUUGACUCCAGAGCAAUUGCAUAUCAUUACUCUUGUCAACUUAUUAGGCAAUAUUUGAUGCAUUGGGUCAAAGAUAUUUGUGACCUAAUAGUUGAGAGCCAGACUUAAAACUCAAAGGUUGCAAGUUCAAUUUCCAGGCUGGCAGGUUUUCAAGGCUUUGUUAGGUGACCCCCAAUGGGAUCAACAUGGCAUAUUGGUCAGAUAUUUAAAUUCUUAUUAUAAUUUUAAAUCUAUUUACAUAAAAAUACAUUCAAAAAUUGACUUAAGGUGUCUUUCUCCAAAAUUAUGAUUUUCAUUAUAGCUUUCCUGUAGCUCAGUGGUAAGAGCAUUGCGUUAACAAGGUUGUGGGUUCGAUCCCAGGGGAUUGCAAAUACCUAUGUAAAAUGUAUAGGAUAAAGCAAUGUAAGUCGCUUUGGAUAAAAGCGUCUGCCAAAUGCCUAAAUGUAAAUGUAAAUGUCAUUAAUAUGACUACAUCAUCAACUGUUGCAAAUAAAGUUGAUACAAUGCAAAAUGAGUUUUCAGAAAACCAAAUAAAGGUAGAUUUUUUUAUGGUAGCCUACAUACAGGGAAGGAACAAAAAAAGAGAUUUAAUAUUGCCUUCAAAUAAGCAAUGUGAUCAUAUACACAACACAAUGUUUGUAAAAUAUCAUUGCGGCAGACACGUUAAAAUAACAGUUACAAACAUCUCAAUAAAUCUACAGUUUAUGUAAUAAAGAUAGCCACGAUGAGUAUAUAUUUAAAAUAUUUAUAUAUUUAAUGAAAUUAAUAACAUGUUGUGUUUAUAGUUUUAUAAACAUAUAACUUAAAUAAUUCAAUUUUAUGAUUUUUAAUCCAGCACUUUAUACACUGAUGCAGAUUUAAGUGUUCUAUGAAAAAAACCUCUGAUUUAUAAAGUUGUUUUACAGUCAAAAACGUUAAGCUUCCCGGCGUUUUCCAUGAUGACUCGUGCAAUCUGUGAUCCCUUGACAACGUCUUCAUGUUGUUUCUGUGAGCGUGCAUUAACUCUGGGUUUCUUUUGUGAGGUUGAUUAAACGUACUCUUCAAACGGGUUCUGGAACAGACAUACCCAGAGUAAGCAAGGCUUGGGUUAAUCGACCCAGAGUUCAGGGUUUAGCUGACGGUAAGUUAACCCUGCUUUCUGGAAUACACCCCAGAGAGAGCGCAUUGCAAGCCAACACAAACAAUGGCAUGUCUCUCUCACACAAAACACUUUGGUCUGUUAUGAUCAUGCCACAAGACUAAGAAAACAUGAUCAAAAGAGGCAGAAUCAUUCCAUUCCAUUCCAUUUUCUACCACUUAUCCGAACUACCUCGGGUCACGGGGAGCCUGAACCUAUCUCAGGAGUCAUCGGGCAUCAAGGCAGGAUACACCCUGGAUGGAGUGCCAACCCAUCGCAGGGCACACACACUCACUCAUUCACUCACGCACUCAUACCCUACGGACAAUAUUUUCCAGAGAUGCCAAUCAACCUACCAUGCAUGUCUUUGGACCAGGGGAGGAAACCGGAGUACCCAGAGGAAACCCCCGAGGCACGGGGAGAACAUGCAAACUCCACACACACAAGUCGGAAGCGGGAAUCGAACCCCCAACCCUGGAGGUGUGAGGCGAACGUGCUAACCACUAAGCCACCGUGCCCCCCAGGCAGAAUCAUGACAAUAUAUAAUAUAAUACAGUUUGUCAAUAAUAGACUGAAUUUUUUUUUCUUAACAACUUUUAGGUUAAAAAUCAUAAAUGUAUUGUUUAUAAUCUUCUUCUCACACAAUCACUUCCUGCAGUUCCUUUAUUUUUUAUAUGUUUUUUAUUAUAACUUUUUCCUGCAGUUUCCAGUGAAGCAAUGCCCAAAACUUAAAACCCCAAAACGGAUAUAAGGGGACAUUCACAUGCCUUGAGUUUUACUGGAAUGGUAACCAUAUGCAUGACAAACAGACUGUAAUUUUCGAUAUAUAGUAACUAACUUUAAGUUACUUUAAUGUUUUACGUUACUUUCAGGAAUACUACUGAAGUGUGGGAAUUAAUAUGGAAUAUAGAGGCACUUCUUGUUUAUAGGCCAAUAUUAAAUGUUUUUAUUUAACAUUACAUAUCGCUCUUAGAAGUUCUGCCAGGCCUUGCUCUGAUGAUGUCAUCUCUGCGUCAUGAGUGUGCAGAUGCUUCUUACAAUAAAUACUUCCAAGCCAAGUGGUCAUGAAACACUUAAUGUUGGAGUGUUAAAAGGCAACUAGAAUUUGUAAACCAGCAGAAAAGUACACAUUUAAAGGGACAAAUGGAUGAUGAUGGCACAAGAUGUUACAAUGUUCUCAUGGGAUCCUGUUACCACGUACCACCUACCUAAAGAUUACUCCUGACCAUACUUCUUCAGGACCUGCUGCUAAAGACCGCAUGCAUGUACAUGGGUUUUGUAUUAACAUUUUCGGGAAUUGAAAGCCGAUCUAUAGUUGCCAUUACACAUACGACUGUCAAACAAAAGUGCAACAUGAAUGUGUGUAUACGCACUUCACCUUUAAAAAGAGAAGUGUUCUCCUGUACCAUAUACAGCGAUUUUAUCAUGUGCUAUAGUCUGAGUCAUCAUGGUCUGUUACAUAAAGCUCAUGUCCGUACUGAACACAGAUCUUCCGCACAGAAAGUGUUGUGCAGUGGGAGGCUUUUAUCACAGAUCCUCGCAUCAUCCAGACUUUCACAGGAAACAGGACGAUGAGGGUUCACAAGUCUCUUACAGUCAGAUGAUGGACUCAUUUUAUUCUGUUCACCUCUGAUCAGAUUCAUGCAGUCAACAGAUUCCUUGAAAAUAUACAGCUGCAACAAAAGAGCAUCCUGAUGUGCUGAAUGGGCUGAUGGACCCACAGGAAGUAUGCACAGUCCUAAACUUAUCACAUGUGACUAUCUUGAGAUGAAAACAUCUCUUACAACCUGCCCCAGGAUAGUCACAUCAGCACCAAACAAGCAAUAACCAAAACUAGCCUGGAGCCAUAUGGAAAUAUAUGAUGAUGUAAGCUGUUAUUUAUUUCAACAGGAUAGCGUUCUGUGUCAUGCUGACAUGAAGCGUGUGCAUGGGGAAUUGAACACACAGAGAAACAAAGGUUUGUAGCGCUCCAGAAUCGUUUUCCAGGUAGUAAUCUACAUACAUUUGCCAGGAGCUUUUGUCAGAGGUGAUACUGACCUCUGGUUUUUAAAGAACCCUAUACAGGUCAUGUUAGUAUGUUCCAAGAUAAUGUCAUAUCAGAUAUUUAAAUAUGAUUGGAAAAAUACCCCUGUUCUCUGUAAUUACAGAAGAAACGUGAUGUUCGUAACGCUUUGUUGCUCAUAAUUACGUAAUCAUCAUGAUGAGAUGCCGACGUGCGUGUUUAUCUAAACAGAAAGGACGCCAUCUUGUGGUGACUGUGUUAACAUUUUACAUUAUUAUUUUGCUGAUAUAACGUUUAUAAAGAUGACUUGGCUUUCAGUUACAGUUUUUAACAAUUGCUGUAACAAUUUUUUUAAUUCUCCUGACAAUUUUCCUAAACUCUUCACACAGUUAUUACAACAUCUGGCCAUGUAGGCUCAGAAUUAACACAUUUCUUGUUGCUUUACACAAAAUCCAUACAUUAAACACAUAUUUAAAAUGCUUUAACUUCUUUAACAUACAAGCUCAACCUUAACCAAAUCUUAGUAUUUUUCCUGCCAAAUUUACAAAUGCUUUCACACUUUAGGUCAGAACAGACAACAUCUCAUUCUAAACCUAACUAAUAGGCCAAAGUCAAAGUGAACAGCUGUUUAUAAUGUGAAUUACAACACAAAUGUAUCACCUGUAUUUUAUUACAUUGCUAAUGAGAAACAGCAAAUUGAAGUUAUGCAAAUAUAUAAAUCAAAGCCGUAGUCUUAUGUUACAGUUUUUGCCCAUUGCUUACACACUAAAACCAAAUGCUUACACCAAAGCCUCAAAACCCUAACUUCUUGUAGCAUAAUUUUAACACAGUGUAACCAUAGCUUAAACACAUUGUCAACUUUAUACUUUGUUUGCAAUUCUGUAACACACUUACUGCGGAACACUUCACACGUUUUCUUAGAUUAGACACUUUCUUCAAAAACGAAAUCAACUGUUUUCAUUGGGAAAACACUCUGUUAAAAAUGCACAACUCCUCUAGUAAUCGUAGGCACUUACAUACAUACCUGAAAGCACUUGCACAGAAAACAGAACACCAAUCAGUCUGAGCCUUAGCACUACAAAUAGGCCUCAGAUAAGCCAUUUGGAGAUCUUUGUAAUCAUGGAGGCAAUGAGAGUCCGAAUAAGAGGACAGAGACAGAGGGUAGUUGGACGUGGACGAGGACAAAGAGGAGGACCAGUCCGGAGACGUGUAUCAGAUGACAUCAGGGCUACUUUGGUGGACCAUGUGAUAAAUCAUGGCCUGUCCAUGAGGGAGGCUGGGCAAAGAGUCCACCCUAACCUCAGUCGCUACACAGUAGCAUCGGUUAUAAGAACAUUCUGACUGGAGAACAGGUAUAUCCUCAAGUUUCCACCUACUGUAUGUAUAGCAUGAUGAUUUGAAUUAUAGGAUUACUGUACUUUUCAAAAAUAGGUACUGAUAUGAGGUAUAUAUAAAGGCAUACCAUUGUGAUGUUACAGUGGUGUUCACAGUUUGAAAGUACAUUUUGUGAAAAAAGAACCUAAUGACAUCUUGUGGUGGCAUUAUCUACAGAAUGGUUAGACAACCUCCUCAAGGUGGAAGGGCACGGCUCUUCACUCAACAACAAGAGCUUGCAAUCAUUGAAAUGGUGCGAGAAAAUAAUGCAAUAUGACUUCGUGAGUUGCAACAAUGCAUAGUUGCAAAUAGAGAAGUAUUCAACAAUAUCAACAGGGUCAGCAUUUCUACACUAAGUCGCAUCCUACAGAACAACUUCAGAAUGAAGCAGCUGUACAGAGUCCCGUUUGAGAGAAACAGUGACAGGGUCAAGGAUCUUCGUCGUGAUUAUGUGCAGACAAUUACAGACAAAAGGAGAUAUUUUCCCCGAUGCCUAGCACGUGAGGACAUUGCCUGUGAUGUAGAUGAUGUCUUGUGGCCAGAGCCGAACAGAAGGCGGGAUCCAUAACACAAAACACACAAAUCAGUUGCUUUUUCCCAAUAGCAAUUUAUUCAGUUAUUUUGUUUUUUACUUUGGUUUUGUUACUAAAUUAGAUUUUUGAUUAUUUUUCGUAAGAAUGUUUAUUUUUGGUAAAAACAUCUGAAAAUGACAAUAACAGUUUUUUUCAAUUGCUAACAUCCCUUUGACCAAUCUAUAGUCACAUUUUUAAAACUCUAAACUAGUGGUGGGCCGUAACGCAGUGAGACUAUUAUCGCGCGUUAAAAAAAAUGUCGCCGUUAAUCUAUUGCCAAAGUUGGGUUGGGAGCUGGGUCUAUACUACGCAAGCUAUGAUGACUUUCACCUUGAUAUUUUAGCGCGGAUGUAUACCAGCUUAACUGCACUGUACGGGGCGAGAACGAGAUUUUUCAACUCGCGUGAUUCGCGUCAUUCGCGUAAGCAGAAGCCGCCUCAUCAUCUCAUAACCAGGGCUUCAUUCGCGCGAUUCGCGCAGCAAGUAGGUCUAUUGGCUCUUUGCAUUAACAUAUAAAUCACUCGCGCUUGACGCGCCAUUCGCAAUUGGUCUGAACACAACAUAACGUUACUGUGAAAUUACCGCAUCAAACGUGACGUGCUAACAUGGAUGCAGCUAUGAAGCCGCCGGGUUUGCUUCAGGGAAUAUUAAUUUUUAAGAAGCUUCCCAAUGGAAACAUCGACAAGACUAAGGUUGUUUGCACCUUGUGCAAUGCGGAAUUGGUUUAAAAAAAAAAACUUUCUCUCAACAGGUAGUGGUCUAGCUUUAGUUGAAACCAGUAACUUUGUAUUGAGAUCUAAUGUAUUAUGGCUCCUGUAUGACAUAUCGCUUGUUGCUCCUUCACUCUUUGUAAGUCGCUUUGAAUAAAAGCGUCUGCUAAAUGACUAAAUGUAAAUGUACUGUAGGAGCUCUUCCAGUCUCAAGUACCACCUAAAUGGAAAUCAUCCCUUAGCUAAUUCGGAAGUAAACACAAGUUCAUCUUAUUGAACAUAAUUUAAUUUUCAUCACCAAUUAUCAUAGUAGAACAGCUUUCUCAAGCAGUUUGUGAUGCAUUUUGGAAACAGGAGAUUAGCCCCUGGUCUAAUGCGCCACCUGACUUGAGAAAUCUAUACAGAAAGAACUGAAACAUGAAGUAAUGCAGUUUUUGUAAUGCCACCAACUGUUAGUAUUUUGACAGUCAUUGCGGUAUGAUUGACUAUGUAUUCAUGUUGGAUAGAAAACGAGUGCUAAAGUUUUGACCGAAAGAUUCGAUUUUGAAACGGGUUUGCAGUGUUUUGAUAGAGUAAGUGUAUAUUGAAAAAGUUUUUAAGGGUUUUGAAAUGUAGAGUUUGUAUUUAUUUAACAAACUGUGGUUUUGGUCAGAAAAUUAACUAUUUGGCUAAUUGUGUGAUGUAGGUGUGUUGCUGUGUUAAGAGUUUAGAAAAAGUAUUCUAAGAAUUGGCAAACGCUUCUUAGCAAUUGAAAAAAACUGUAAAUAUUAGAGACCCAAAGACUGCUAUGCUUUAAAUAAAGCCCAUCAGUGUGUUGCUGGUGAUAUGAAAGAAAAAUUCAAAUGGUUCUUAUGUGUAUGGUUUUUAUUCAAGAAUAUCAUUUUUAGAAAGGAGUGUUAAGCUUUGAUUGCAGUGUUUUAUUUUUGCAUAGAUGUGAGUUGUUAAUCUCGAUGUGCUAUGUCCAAUUUGAUUGGGUGUAGAGUUUUGUACAUAA